UGCAAGUCGAACGAGGUCCAACCGGUGGAAACACCGGUGAAGACCUAGUGGCGAACGGGUGAGGAACACGUGAGUAACCUGCCCCGAAGACCGGGAUAACAUCGGGAAACCGGUGCUAAUACCGGAUAAUCUCUUCAGCUCGCAUGAGUUGAAGAGGAAAAGGGUUUCUGCUUCGGGAGGGGCUCGCGGCCUAUCAGCUUGUUGGUGGGGUAAUGGCCUACCAAGGCUUCGACGGGUAGCUGGUCUGAGAGGACGAUCAGCCACACUGGGACUGAGACACGGCCCAGACUCCUACGGGAGGCAGCAGUGGGGAAUCUUGCGCAAUGGGCGAAAGCCUGACGCAGCAACGCCGCGUGGAGGACGAAGGCUCUUCGAGUUGUAAACCCCUUUCAGCAGGAACGAUUGUGACGGUACCUGCAGAAGAAGCCCCGGCCAACUACGUGCCAGCAGCCGCGGUAAUACGUAGGGGGCGAGCGUUGUCCGGAUUUAUUGGGCGUAAAGAGCUCGUAGGCGGCUUGGCAAGUCGGGUGUGAAACCUCCAGGCUCAACCUGGAGCCGCCAUCCGAUACUGUCAUGGCUAGAGUCCGGUAGGGGACCAUGGAAUUUCUGGUGUAGCGGUGAAAUGCGCAGAUAUCA
rnacentral:rRNA from 1 species